CUGGCUGGACAGGAAGUUUGACUUCAACAGAGGACAUCUAAUUAUGUCCACAUAGAAGAGAUUUCCAUAAAGGCAAAUGUGUUUCCUCUUGUAGUCAAACUGUUUUCUCAAUGUGCUUGUGUUUAGAUGCAGAGAGUUGGAUGUCAUGAUCGCCAUUGGGAAGUUCAAAUACAGAACUGAAACUGAUGAAUUUGCUCAUCUUUGAAUUGCUCUGGAGAAGUACGAACGUAUUUGCUGAAGUAGUGAUUUUCAACAUCCCGGAAAAUGACUUAUCGGUCAUUUCUCUCAAUUGGAUCAUUAGACUGAAGAAGACCAACACGAAUGAAGGGAUUGUCUAAUCGUCGAUUUGUUCAAGGAUAUCAAGAAAAAGCAUCCCAUCCAGUGUGUGGACAAUGCGGAUGGAUUUUCUCCUGUGGUCGUCUACGGUGAUGAAACAUUCGACUUUUAUUAUCAACAAGAUGCGGUGCCGCAGCAUGCUUCUGAAGAAGGCUCCUACAGUUCUGUGCGACCUUUCCGACCUGACCGUUAUGAGAAUGAGGACGCUGCUGGUUUGAGUGCCGGGUUGGACGAAGAACAGAAUCUUCCCAUCCGGUGUGUGGACAAUGCGGAUGGAUU